rnacentral:rRNA from 1 species
UACGGAGGGUGCGAGCGUUGUCCGGAAUCACUGGGCGUAAAGGGCGCGUAGGCGGCCUGAUAAGUAGGGGGUGAAAUCCUGUGGCUUAACCGCAGGGCUGCCUUCUAAACUGUCAGGCUGGAGCACAGUAGAGGCAGGUGGAAUUCCCGGUGUAGCGGUGGAAUGCGUAGAGAUCGGGAAGAACAUCAGUGGCGAAGGCGGCCUGCUGGGCUGUUGCUGACGCUGAGGCGCGACAGCGUGGGGAGCAAACAGG